UUAUUAUUAUUAUUGCACGCAUUAUGUCUUCUGAGAGUGUGCGACUUUGGCAUGCUAAGCAAUGAGCGUAAUAUAAAAAAACGAACAGAAAGUGUCACGGGCGACUAUAGAAAAUUCGCUCGGCACGAAUUCCGAUCUCGACCUACCGCCAAGGUUGACGUCCGAAUUCGACUGUUAGUAGCAAAAUAAUCUUCGGUUUUUUUCGAAAAAUUUGAAAAACUAGUAGAAUUUCAGAUAUAAAAUCGCCUCUCCUUUUAAUAAUAUAAUAGGUACGAGCGUUACGCAAAAACGAUAACGCUCGAAAAUGUUCACUGUCCAAGCGGAAAUGUAUGAACGACGUAAAGAUGUUUUCACAUCAAAAAUAAAACGGUACCUAUGAUCAGCAUUAAAUUUAAAUUUUUUUUAAUUUUAAUUUUAAUUUUUAAUUUUAAUUUUACUGCGGCCUGCAUGAAUCGCACAAAUUCUGAUUGGUCGGUAAAUGAAAUAUAAUACUGUACGAACGUCGUGGAGGCGAACUCGCAUGAACGGCGUUCACAUUUCUUAUCAGUAGUUUCAUCAGUAGUUUCGUAAACCGUAAAUCCGUCGAGAUAGUUUAGAAUACUUGACAGGUUAGGAUUAUAAAUCCAAUUUAAAAAAUGUAGAAAAGUUGUUUUCAAAUAUAUUUUCAGAAGUUUUUUUAUGAUGAGUGAUAUCUAGCCAUCUAGGAGGCUGCGAGACUCGCUACCGGUGGAGGAGACAGACUCGUUGGAGUUAUAUAGGUAAAUGCUCGUGAUAUUUAAAAUGUUCUAUUACAAAAUGAUGACCGACCAAAGAUACCUCCAACCUCUAAUUGCUGACGGAGUUUUGUUUGAAGUGGGACUCCGUCACGUACAUGGACUUCCAGCACAAGGCCGUGGCCCGGAUCGUGCUCUCUGAGAUGCCAGGCUUGUGCCUUGUUCGUCCAAAACAGUUUGACAAGCUGCCGCUCUCUGUGUUAACAGGCAACACAUGACUAACCAUCCCCACAGAAUAUCUCAUAUGUUUCUGUUGAAAUUUAAGUCAGUUUCAUUGAAGAUGAGAUGUAUUGAAUAAGCCAGCUUGCGGUCGUGUUAUGCAGUGGACCUCCCUAACGUGGACCUGCAACAAAACAAAAGCCUACUGGAUGGCAGUGAUGGUGAACAUUUGAACCAAACAACACUAGAUAUGGUGCUUAAAUGAUGUAAGAACAAGCUGUAGAAGACUAAGCAGCUGUUUAUGCGGUUGCUGAAAUUGUUUUGAACAUCAUUCCACGUUUAAAACUUCUUGCCCAACGAUUGCGUCAUUUAAAAGUAUCACUUAGAAGCAACUUGGUCUUUCCCAAUGUUAGAAGUUUGGACACACACAUAAAUACUGUCACCACUGUCCAUGUGCAUGAAAAGUGGAUUAUAACAUGUUACCGACAAUUGCAAUAAAAAACAAGAGAAACCAGAAAAAUGUGCAAACUGUAAUGGAAACCACACAGCAGACUAUAAAGGAUGCCAGACCGUUAAAGAUUUAUUAAGUAUUAAAAUACGAAUCCGGAAAUAUCAAUAAAAAAAAAUUAUUCAAUUCCAACAUCUGCCUCACCACCUGUAACUUGAAGAAGCGCCUAGUUCAAAAGAAAAAGUUUACUUUUAAUAGAUAAUAAUUUAAGAAUAUUUGGAUAAUAAUAUAAUAUUACAUUUAGUAAAUACUUUAGUUAAAUUUUACUAGAAAUUAAGUAGCUGUAACUGAUGGCUUUUACAGUCAAGUUAUUAUGAAGACCAGUUAAAAAAAAGUAUAUUUCACAGUUAAGAGUACACCUCACCCGCAUGUGUUGUCUCCGUCUUACAAGUGCGUAACAUAGCAAAUUGUACGCUCAGCAGAACAUGUGUAGCUCCAUUAAUUUAAAAAUUAGUGUGAAUUGACCUCUCAUAUAAUCUAAAAGUAAGACUUAUCUAGACUGGGCUUUUUAUUAUAUUUUAAUUUUAAAGCGAGUUAUGAGUAUUUUAAGAUGAACAAACACUACAAUUUUAAAAUAAUCAUAACUCGCUUUAAAAUUAAAAUAUAAUAAAAAGCCCAUGAGGUUGUCUAAAUAAAAAUCUUACCUUUAGAUUUUAUAAGAGGUCAAUUCACUCUAAUUUUUAAACUAACGGAGCUACACGUGUUCUGUUGAGCGUACAAUUUGCUAUGUUACGCACUUAUAAGAUGGUGAUAACACAUGCGGGUGAAGCGUCCUCUUAAGAGAAUAUUUUAAGAGGACGUUAGCGCACUAUUUGUUUUCUUUCUCUGGCCCACGUGCAACAAACAAAACGUAUUUACGCAGGUAAAUUGUUUUAUGUUCUUGAGUAACUAUAAGAAUAAAAUCGCCGAUUACAAAAACAAUAAAGAAUAAUUUUUUUCGGGGGGAAUGACAUGAUUUGUCUAAAUAUUAUCUCAAAACAAUUUAAUCAUCAUCAAGUUCAAUUAACAAUAAAAUAUGAAACUGUCAUUCAAAAACAUUAUUCUCUAUAACUUUUGUAAUAGGUGAUUUUAUUCUAAGAUAACUAAAAAUUAUUAAAAAAAAAUGUUUGAUGAAAACGUAUUAUUUAUGUUGCGCGUGGGUCUAAUAGAGAAAACAAAUAUUGCACUGACAUCGUCUUAAGUAAUAAUAUUGUCAUAUUUUAGAAUAUUUUGAAAAAAAGUAAAUAGAGCAAUCAUAUUUUGAUUUUUUUAAGUUAUUUUCAUUUUUAAAAAGUUUAUUAAAAUUUUGUAUUUACAUCCCAACAACUAAUAAUAAAUAUUUGUUGUUUGCAAGUACUUAAAUGCAUUUUUAUGUAUUUAUUUUAAUUUGAUUUAUAAUAUUUUUAAUACAACACAAAUGACUAGUAUAUAAUAUUAUGCAUUAUUUCACUCUUUUAAUUGUAUUGUGUAAAAGAAAUAACUAAAGAUAGAAAUUAAUAAAUUGAAAUCAGAUCUUAUCAAGAAUAAAAAAAAUAUUUGUAAAUAAAUAGAUGCAUAUUAUUAUAUUAAGAAUAAUAUCUUAUUUUAUAUUAUUAUGUUUAAUAACGAAUUGGCCAUGGCCAAUGUAAUAUAUCUUUGGUGUAUGAUAUAAAUGUCUCAAGUCAAAAUUGAUAUUUUUGGCUAAUAGCAGUCAGUAAAAUUGUGUGUAGUAUGUCAUACCUUGUGUGGUACAUAAAUUGAAGUGUGUAGUAAGAAAUUUAAAAGUGUGUUAUUCAAAGUAAACCCUUAUAAUAUUGUGUAAAAUUUUAUUGCUCCACAUUUCUUUUUAUAUUUUAAUGGUUUUUUAUUUAACUAGAUUUUAACUAUUGUCUACAUUCUACUCAGUCACACAGUACUUAAGCAUUAAACAAUAUUUUGUGUUGUUACUAAUUAAUAGUUUUUAUUUAUUCGUAUUUCUUUGUUAUUGAGAGUAGCUAUUUUAUAACACUCCUAUAGCCGUCACUGGGUUUUUGUAUGUCAUACGGUCACUGUCACGGUGUAUUAAGUAGGUACCUAAGUAUUUCCUUAUAGUUUACUAGAUUAGUUUUUAGUUAAAGUUUUUUUUAUUUCUAAGUUUUAUACCACAAACUUAAUAAUUAAUAUAUGUUUAAUAAAAGUAAAUAAUAAGUACUACUUUUGGCUUAAAUAUAGUGUUACCUACUUCUCUUUAACAAACUUUAAUUUGAUGAAACUUAAUAUUACAACAAAAUGUACAUACUUAGGAUAAUUUAAAUGUUUUUUGUUAUUUAUAUUUAUUUAUUCAUAUUAUAUAUUAUUAUUUAUUAUCCAUUUUGUAGACUAAAAAUGAGUUUUAUAAACGAUGAUAAUAUCACUGAUAUAUAUUAACAACAUUAAAGCAUUGAUUAUAAAUACUAUAGAUCGCUCACUGGCUCGUAUUUACGCGAUGCAAAAUAUUGACGAAAAAUGGAUGUGGCCGUUAAGAAGCGCUGUCAUCAUCCAUUAGUUUCUUGUGGGCGACGACAUCUCUCCAUAACAGCUACAUCCAUAUUUUUUGUCAAUAUUUCGAGUCGAGUAAAUACGGGCCAGUGAGCGAUCUAUAUUAUUUAUAAUCAAUGAUUAAAGUAAUUGAUUGUACAAUUAUAUUAUUAUUAUUAUUGUACAUAUAUUAUUAAUGGAUACUAUGAUUUUUUUUUGGUAACUCCAACUAAUUCUAGUAAAAAUAUUGCUGAAAAUGUAACUAUUUAUGUUGAGUAAAUUUGAGUUAGUUAAUAAUUUAAUUUUGUUCACAGUAAUGAAAUAAUAUAUUUAUAGUUACAUAUAGAGCUGUAAAUUUUCAUGAACAUUUUUAAUAAUCCUGAAAAUUUUGAAAAAAAAUUUUCAUAUAGAUUUUUUAAUAAUUACAGACCAUUUGUUAAUUGUACAUUUAUAGUCCAAGAACUUAAA